rnacentral:rRNA from 1 species
GACGAACGCUGGCGGCGUGCUUAACACAUGCAAGUCGAACGGAAAGGCCCUGCUUUUGUGGGGUGCUCGAGUGGCGAACAGGUGAGUAACACGUGAGUAACCUGCCCUUGACUUUGGGAUAACUUCAGGAAACUGGGGCUCAUACCGGAUAUGAGCUCCUGCUGCAUGGUGGGGGUUGGAAAAUUUCGGCGUUUGGGGAUGGACUGGUGGUUUAUCAGCUUGUUGGUGGGGUAGUGGCUUACAAAGGCUUUGAGGGGUAGCCGGCCUGCGGGGGUGACCGGCCACAUUGGGACUGAGAUACGGCCCAGACUCCUACGGGAGGCAGCAGUGGGGAAUAGUGCACGAUGGGCGGAGGCCUGAUGCAGCAACGCCGCGUGCGGGAUGACGGCCUUCGGGGUGUAAACCGCUUUCGCCUGUGACGAAGCGUGAGUGACGGUAAUGGGUAAAGAAGCACCGGCUAACUACGUG